AACUUGGCCCCAGGCCUGAAAUCCGGCCUCCAGAUAUUUUCUUGGCCUGAGCCCAGACCAGCCGCCCUCCAGCCCUCCCAGGCAGCCUGCUGCCCAGUUGAAUGAAGGAGUCUGCUCUCAGAGUUUCUGCUGUGGGAGAGCCCCAGAUCCCAAGUGUCUUCAAAGGUCUGUUAUGAAUGGGGCCGUCCAGCUGAAGCUGACAUCCCCACGCAGCCCUCCCAGAGCUCUGCACCUCAGCCGGCCUAUGGCCUCCACUGUCUGGCCCUGUCUCCUGAGCGGCGCCCAGCAAGACGAGAAGGCCAAGUCCUGCCCAGUGGGCCAGCCAGAGGUCACCCGCCGCGCCUGAGCCACCGGUGUGUGAAGUGCCCUGCGUCUUCCCUCGGUUCCCAGCUGCCUCAGUUUCCCUUCCUGAGAAAGGCGGGGUUCUGGAAGGUGAGGAGCUGCAGGGACCCAAGAAGGGCAUGGAAACCGCCUGGGGACACUGGCCCCUCUGUCAGGAUCAAUCGCCCUAAGCCUGUCUGAGGCGCUCCAGGCUUAGGAGCAGCUGUGAAAGCCGCCUUUGUGCCUGGGAGAAUGAGCCACAAGAGGACAGGGGGCCCUGGCCCCGGGAGCCCCUUGGGUCCUGGCUCCUGAGAUCAACGCCAUCAGGGAAGACCCCAGCCUGGCCCCUGAAGCCCACCCAGGCCUGGUGCCCACUUCGUGCCAUGGGAGCAGCCCAGGGGAAGAAGAAAACGUACUCUCCUCAGGCCAGAUUUCAUAGUGAAAAUGAGAAGCAGAGAUGCAAUGGCUCAGCCGCCAUGUACUCGGAGAUCCAGAGGGAGCGGGCGGACAUCGGGGGCCUGAUGGCCCGGCCAGAAUACAGAGAGUGGAAUCCGGAGCUCAUCAAGCCCAAGAAGCUGCUGAACCCCGUGAAGGCCUCUCGGAGUCACCAGGAGCUCCACCGGGAGCUGCUCAUGAACCACAGAAGGGGCCUUGGUGUGGACAGCAAGCCAGAGCUGCAGCGCGUCCUGGAGCACCGUCGGCGGAACCAGCUCAUCAAGAAGAAGAAGGAGGAGCUGGAAGCCAAGCGGCUGCAGUGCCCUUUUGAGCAGGAGCUGCUGAGACGGCAGCAGAGGCUGAACCAGGUGGCAUUCCUGUUUUAGAGAUGGGGAACCUGAGGCCCAGAGCGGGUGAGUGAUUUGAACCAGGCUUCACAAGGAGAACUCAGUCUCGUGCUCUGUGCCCCAGCUACCAGGCUGGCAGCAAAACUCAUCCUCAGCUGGAAAAACCACCGGAGAAGGAAGAGGAUCACGCCCCGGAGUUUAUUAAAGUCAAGGAAAACCUGCGGAGAAUUGCCACACUGACCAGCGAAGAGAGAGCGCUGUAGGGCCGGCUGCCAGGCUCAGGCCACCACCCACCCUGGCCUGGACACCCUCCUCCAGCCCUUCUGCACCUGGCAGCCCUGAGCCCCAGGCCUUGGGACGUCUGUGAUGUUCCCACCUGCUUCUGUAGAAAUGUGUCACCCCAGAGGGCCUGGCUCUCCCUGGGAGGCCAGUGCCCCUAAGCUCCUAGGCUUUUCCUUCCAAGCACCCAGACCUUCUGCUCCAAGAGGGAAAAUUUGCAUCCCUCCCUGCAGGGAGUUCGGAGCCCAGCACAGGGGGUUUCUCUGGCAGAAUUGAGGAGGAAGAGGCAGCCCUCUGGCUUGACAAGCCUUCUGUUCUGCCCGGGCCUUCCCACCAGGAAUCUCCAAGGCUCCCCAGGGCCCCGCUUCUCCACGCACCCAGCUCCUAGGUCUCAGAGAACUCCCCCACCUGUGAUUUUACCUGCAGCCAGCAGAGCUUAGCUUCAAGGACACCCGCCUCCAAAGCACUGAGGGGAGGACGGGCAGGGCAGACCACAGGUGGCCUUGUUGCUGCCAUCCUGACCAGGUGGGAGGACACUAACAAAGACAGCUGUUUAGGGUCUUCUCCCCUCACCCAUGCUUUCAUCAUCCCCUCCGCACAGCGCCCACCACCACCCCACCCCCACCCCCACCCCGUCCAGGCCUUCUAACCACACCUAGCCAGGGCUGCCACAUUCCUGCGCCCAGAAGUCUGCAGCAGUGCCUCACAAACUUGAUUGUGCAUACAAAUCACUGGGGAUCUUGUUAAAUACAGCUUCUAACUCAGUAGAUCUGGGGUGGGGGCUGAGAGCUUGCAUUUCUAACAAGCUCCCAGGUGAGGCGGAGGCUGCUGGUGUGAGGACCAUGCUGUGAGCAGCAGGGCGUGAGUGCCCAGAGCUGGUAUGUAUUAGAAAUAUCACGCCUGAAGCCAUCGCUGGCCCCCACCUCCCAUGGACUGAUGCCCCAGGGAUUACCACCCCACCUCUGCAACCCCAGGUUUUCUUCCUUAUCCACCCCACCCCAGACUCCCACCCCCAGGAAUUCUCCAUGAAGACUUUGGCCUAGCAAAUUGUGUUGGUUAUGUGAGUGUUGUUUUAAUCAGAGAUGUAUGUGAUUGCCAAUCUGCAUUUCUUACCAGUGUGACCACACUGUUAUGAUGCAAUUCUAGCCAAAAAAAGAAUUUUUUUUUUACUUUUUCCUGCAGUCUUAAGGAAAGCAAAUAUACAAUGAUUUCCAAUAGGCUUCUGGAAUAGAAACAGUGGUUUGAAGACCCCUCUGCCGCCUUUAUGGACUGGCCCCUUUGAGUCUGAAUCCCAGGUCUCUGUCACCUGAGACCUAACCCCUAACUGGGCCAACUCCAGUGAAUUCACCCAUUUUUCUUCUUCAGAAGGCGUUUCGUAUGUGAGACCCACUUAUUUUAACCUUUUGCUCCUAUCCCAUUUUUAAAGAAUUAGAGAAUAAACCAGGCCUGUUCUUUUCCCCUGAAAUCCCUGCCUCUGGCUUCCUAAACCCAUCUUCUAAGGUGACAGAGCAGUGCUGGAAUAGCAUCUCCUUUCACUUCCCCCAAAACUGCCACAAAGAGCUGCCACUGGCAUGCUCUCUGAUUCCUGGAAGCAAACGUGGGACUGCCGGAGGAAAGGGAUUGUCCUGGUCUUACUCAAAACUGGGUGGUUUGAGGGUGACUGAAGUUGUGCUUUUCCUGUGUGUGCUGCCAGCACAGGGCUGUAAAUGCAGAUAUUCUGCCUGUGUGCGUAUAAAGUCGAGCUCAAAGAGGCUCCUGAAUGUGACUGGCGUGCUGAGAAUGUGGUUAUGCUGUUUAAUGUAUGCCAGGUGAGGGUUACGCUGAAGAUGCACAAUCCCUAAAAUAAAGAUCACCACAUCCCCAAAGAAGCAGCCCUCGGGUCCAUGUGUUGUUCAGACAUGUGAAGAGAAGCAAGACAGAGGGUCUCAGAUAGAUGAGGGGUCCCCAAGGGAAUGUCUGGGGCUUUAUCCGGUGGUCCCCAGAGGUGCUCCAUGGAGGCAACAAGUCUUUCCGUGAAGCCCCAGAAGUAGAAGGGACCUCAAGCACCACGCCUUCCAGGGCAGCCGUGCAGAAGACCUUGGUUCACGCUUCAGGGGUCAUCCCAACUCCAUAUCUCCAGCCACUCCAACUGUGGAGGCUGUAAACCCAGAUUCUCACUGUUCCAGUCUCCUUUGCAGCGUAGAAUGGCUAUGUGAUUCGGUGUAGCCAAUGAAAUUGAAGAGGAAGUCUACAGGAGCUUCUGGGAAAGCGUGUGCUUUUCUGAUAAAAGACACAGGCAUGGCUAACAUCUCCCUGGCCUUCUUCUUUCUGCUUUGAUUGAGGGUGUGAUGCCUGGAGCCACAGCAGCCACUUUGCUACCAUGAGAAAAAGGCCAAGAGAAUCACAGAGUCAUUGACCCUAUCAUUAUUUCACCAAGCCAAUGCCAGCCACCAUCCUUCUCCAUAAUUCUUGUAAAUAAAAUAAAUCCCUCUUUGUUUAAA